UACGUAGGGUGCGAGCGUUAAUCGGAAUUACUGGGCGUAAAGCGUGCGCAGGCGGUUCGUUAAGUUCGUUGUGAAAGCCCCGGGCUCAACCUGGGAAUGGCAAUGGAAACUGGCGGACUGGAGUGCGGCAGAGGGGGGUGGAAUUCCGCGUGUAGCAGUGAAAUGCGUAGAGAUGCGGAGGAACACCGAUGGCGAAGGCAGCCCCCUGGGCCGACACUGACGCUCAGGCACGAAAGCGUGGGGAGCAAAC
rnacentral:rRNA from 1 species